rnacentral:rRNA from 1 species
CCUACGGGGGGCAGCAGUGAGGAAUAUUGGUCAAUGGACGAGAGUCUGAACCAGCCAUGCAGCGUGCAGGAUGACGGCUCUAUGGGUUGUAAACUUCUUUUAUACGGGAAUAAAACAGGGUACGUAUACUCUGUUGUAAGUACCAUACGAAUAAGGAUCGGCUAACUCCGUGCCAGCAGCCGCGGUAAUACGGAGGAUCCGAGCGUUAUCCGGAUUUAUUGGGUUUAAAGGGUGCGUAGGUGGAUUGAUAAGUUAGUGGUGAAAGUUCGCGGCUCAACCGUGGAAUUGCAGUUGAUACUGGCAGUCUAGAGAACAGAUGCGGUAGGCGGAAUGCGUGGUGUAGCGGUGAAAUGCUUAGAUAUCACACAGAACUCCGAUUGCGAAGGCAGCUCACUAGUCUGCAUCUGACACUGAUGCACGAAAGUGUGGGUAUCAAACAGGAUUAGAUACCCGUGUAGUC